rnacentral:rRNA from 1 species
AGUCGAACGGACAGUAGCAAUACUGUUAGUGGCGAACGGUCGCGUAACACGUAGGCAACCUGCCCGAAAGUGGGGGACAACAGCCUGAAAGGGCUGCUAAUACCGCAUGUGGCCGCUUGGUGGCAUCACCGAGUGUCUAAAGCUUAAUGCGCUUUCGGAUGGGCUUGCGGCCUAUCAGGCAGUUGGUGGGGUAAUGGCCUACCAAGCCGACGACGGGUAGCUGGUCUGAGAGGACGAUCAGCCGGAUUGGGACUGAGAUACGGCCCAGACUCCUACGGGGGGCAGCAAUUAGGAAUCUUGCGCAAUGGGGGCAACCCUGACGCAGCGACGCCGCGUGCGGGAUGAGGGCAUUCGUGUCGUAAACCGCUUUUUACGGGGAAGAAGAAUUUGACGGU